UGGCGGACGGGUGAGUAACACAUCGGAACCCACCCAGUUGUGGGGGAAAGCCCGGCGAAAGCGGGAUUAAUACCGCGAACGACCUGAGGGUGAAAGUGGGGGAUCGCAAGACCUCACGCAGUUGGAGCGGCCGAUGGCGGAUUACCUAGUUGGUGAGGUAAAGGCUCACCUUAGCGACGAUACGAAGCUGGUCUGAGAGGACAACCAGGCCCCCUGGAACUGAAACGCGGUCCAGACUCCUACGGGAGGCAUGGCUGGGGAAUUUUGGACAAUGGGGGCAACCCUGAUCCAACCAUUCCGCGUGAGUGAAGAAGGCCUUCGGGUUGUAAAGCUCUUUCUUUUGAACGAAACGGUGAGGGUUAAUACCUCUCAUCAAUGACGGUACCUGAACGUGCCCACCGGCUAACUACGUGCCAGCAACCGCGGUAAU
rnacentral:rRNA from 1 species